GAAAAAAGGCCAAACGGCCUUUUCUUUUUCCCAAAGAGGCAGUAGCCUCCAUCUAUGUUGGUUUCAAAAGAAAAUUUUCUCAUUUUUUCUUAUCUACGAAGAUCCAACGGUCCAAUCUUCAAUCCAUCUUCGGUAACGUGAUCUACGAAGCCCGAUCUACGUUUCUACCGAUCGUUUUGAGGCUUUGUGUUAUUUGGAGCUUGUAAAGAUUCUCCAAACACAGGGUAAUAUUUGGAUAAAUUUUUGGUAAUGCAAUGCAUGGUGGUGUCUAGGAGACCUAGUGCUUAAUAUCCGCGCAACCAAGGUUCUGCGGAUAUAGAUAUUGACUCGUCUACCUAGCGAAUGAGAUGCUAUGAUUGGAGCACAUCGCGACAGUCAUAAGUUAUGGACUCUUGGGUAGUCCGUAUUUUGGGUAUUUUAUUUAUGGCUCGUGUCCUACGGGGUUUACGUAUUUGUUGAGCAUGUAUUUUGAUAUGUAAUUAGUAUAAUAUGUUUUAUAAGCUUUAAAUAGAUAGACUUGUAAAUGGCUCUUGUUGUUGUAAUUAACUGGCAUGUAUUAGAUGUAUUUCCGCUUUUAAUA